rnacentral:lncRNA from 1 species
AUCUAUUUCUACAUAAUUUUUUUUUGUUUAUUUUUAGACUAAAUUACAAAAAAUCUUUCUGUCCAUAGCCGCUUUUUCACUUUUUCAGGGUAUUUUUUUACUUUUUUUUUCUGUCAUUUAAAAACCUACACUUUACCCCUUAAAAAUGAGAAAUGUUCACAGGGGGUACACCAUGAUGAAAUGACCAAAAUGCCCCUCACCAUCUUCGUCUUCUCCCCCAACCUCGCUCAAUCAUCGCCCCUCCUCUUUCGUUCUUCGAGCCUCGCUCAACCGCAGCUCCGACUCCAUUUUCCUCCACAUACUCCCCCGCUCUUCCUGCGCUCGCGUUGCCCCUCCAUUUCGGCGACAAUAGGGAGGAGAUCGGAGUGGGCAUGAACGGAGAGACGUGCGAGGGCGAGGGCAAGACGGCGAAGGAGCACGAGAGCAUGUGUGUGGAUACGAAUCGAGGGGGCGAGGGCGAGGCGGCGGUGUAGGGCGGCGAGAAAGGAGGCGGCAGGGAGGAAAGGGUAUUUUGGGUAUAAAAAAUAUAUAAUAAUAGGAUAUAAACGGAACCCUAACGGAAUACUGACCGCGGGGGACCAAAGUGAACAUUUCUCAUUUUUCAAUGGGGUAAAGUGUAGGUUUUUAAAUGACCGAAGGAAAGUGAAAAAGCGGGUAUUGACAAUGAGGUUUCCUGUAAUUUAGCCUUAUUUUUAAUUAUGCCACUACAGUUAGAAUUCAUUAAAAAUAUACAAUUAAUCAUAAAUAAAAUAUUUAAUUCUAAUUAGUGAAUGAGGUAAAUUGAUAUUUUUACCCUCUUAUUGAUGGUAGAAAGGAAGAACAUCACUGUUGGAGAUUUUUGGAUGGAUAUUUUUGAAUAAUUCUAACAGUUUUGACUUUUGGAGAAAUAUAUUUGUGAUGGCAAAAAUAUAAUUUUAUUUUUUUUGUUAAAAAAUAAAUGAUACUCUAAGGGCGUGUUUGGUUCGCUUUUUUUUCACCCUGGAAUCGGAAUGGGAAUGGGUAAAUUCGUUUGUGGGUGUUUGGUACGCGGGAGUCCCAUUCCGAUUUCGAUUCCCGAGUGGAAUGGGAAUCCCCCAAUCACCUCUUUUUCAAUCCGGUCUAGGAGGCCGGAUUGAAAGUUGAAUCCGGACGGAAUGGAUAUUUAUUCGGAUUAAAUUUAUUUUUUUAAUUUUUUUAAUUAAAAUAUGAGUUAAAAUUUAAAAAUUAAAUAUAUAAUUUUAAAUUUUAAUUUAAACCUAAAUUAAAAAUUAAAAUUU